AAUGAACGCUGGCGGCAGGCUUAACACAUGCAAGUCGAGCGGAGAUGAGGUGCUUGCACCUUAUCUUAGCGGCGGACGGGUGAGUAAUGCUUAGGAAUCUGCCUAUUAGUGGGGGACAACAUUCCGAAAGGAAUGCUAAUACCGCAUACGCCCUACGGGGGAAAGCAGGGGAUCUUCAGACCUUGCGCUAAUAGAUGAGCCUCAGUCGGAUUAGCGAGUUGGUGGGGUAAAGGCCUACCAAGGAGACGAUCUGUAGCGGGUCUGAGAGGAUGAUCCGCCACACUGGGACUGGGACACGGCCCAGACUCCUACGGGAGGCAGCAGUGGGGAAUAUUGGACAAUGGGCGGAAGCCUGAUCCAGCCAUGCCGCGUGUGUGAAGAAGGCCUUUUGGUUGUAAAGCACUUUAAGCGAGGAGGAGGCUACCUGGAUUAAUACUCUAGGAUAGUGGACGUUACUCGCAGAAUAAGCACCGGCUAACUCUGUGCCAGCCGCCGCCGUAACAC
rnacentral:rRNA from 1 species